rnacentral:rRNA from 1 species
UUGACCUCGGAUCAGGUAGGAAUUCCCGCUGAACUUAAGCCAUUCAAUAAGCGGAGGAAAAGAAACCACCAGGGAUUGCCUUAGUAACGGCGAGUGAAGCGGCAACAGCUCAAAUUUGAAAUCUGGCCCUUUCAGGGUCCGAGUUGUAAUUUGUAGAGGAUGUUUCGGGCAAGACUGCGGUUUAAAUCCCUUGGAACAGGGUGUCAUAGAGGGUGAGAGUCCCGUCUUUAACCGUCUGUUGCGUCCAUGUGAAACUCCUUCGACGAGUCGGGUUGUUUGGGAAUGCAGCUCAAAAUGGGUGGUAAAUUUCAUCUAAAGCUAAAUAUUGGCCAGAGACCGAUAGCGCACAAGUAGAGUGAUCGAAAGAUGAAAAGCACUUUGAAAAGAGAGUUAAACAGCAUGUGAAAUUGUUGAAAGGGAAGCGCUUGCAACCAGACUUGUGGGCAGCGAUUCAGCCGUUCUUCUGAACGGUGUACUUUGCUGUUUCCAGGCCAGCAUCGGUUUGGGUGGCCAGUUAAAGGCUUCGGGAAUGUAUCUACCCUCCGGGGUAGACUUAUAGCCCGAGGUGACAUCUGGUCUACCUGGACCGAGGCAAGCGUUCUACACGGAUGCUGGCGUAAUGGUUGUAAGCGACCCGUCUUGAAACACGGACCAAGGAGUCUAACAUCUAUGCGAGUGUUAGGGUGUCAAACCCUUACGCGGAAUGAAAGUGAACGGAGGUAGGAACCUUCGGGUGCACUAUCGACCGAUCCUGAUGUCUUCGGAUGGAUUUGAGUAAGAGCAUAGCUGUUGGGACCCGAAAGAUGGUGAACUAUGCCUGAAUAGGGUGAAGCCAGAGGAAACUCUGGUGGAGGCUCGCAGCGGUUCUGACGUGCAAAUCGAUCGUCAAAUUUGGGUAUAGGGGCGAAAGACUAAUCGAACCAUCUGGUAG